UCCUUGUUGCGGGAGAAGGUCCUAAGGAGAGAGCAGCCCGGAAGCUCUGCCGUAGAACAGAGGGGGACACGCGGCACAGGACAGCGCAGGGAGGGGGCCUGGCCACUGUCCAAGAGAGAAGGAGGACCCGGCCGGCCUGCGGCUUCAAAACCAAGAGUGGGAAGUGGAAGCCGGGGCAUUUCCUUGUCACAGAUGGCUUUUAGGACAGUGGUUUUCUUAGUGUGGGAGGUCUUGGAGUCACCGAUGGGGCCUGGGAGGGCUGUUUUUAACAAGCACCGCAGGCCAUUCCGAUGCCCAGGAACCCCUGACCCCCCAGACAGGAGCCUUCUCUGUGGCUCUGGUCUGGUGGAGUUGGGGCGUGGCAUCCUUUGACCCUUCAUUAUCCACAGACCCUACCCGCUGUGUAGGCAGCUCUGCAGGCCCCCUGGCCUUGCCCUGCCUCCACCGAUCCUGUGAUUUAUGGCAAGUGGCAAGAGUCUGGGGGUCAGUGGGCUGGGGUGGCCAGUGGAAUCUGGAGUUGGCGGGGAGGGUUUUUCUCUGAGCAAAACUAAGCAGGUCCUGUGGGGGGUACAUUCGUUGCCUUGUAUCAGCCCCACCUCUAGAUGAACAGGAAUUUGAGUUAGGCUGGAAGGACCUGCGAGGUCUGCUCUACUCCAGUCCUAAUUUGGCGAAAUGCAGAACCCGGCGGGUCCGGCCUUGGGAUGCAGCUUUGGGUACUGGCGACGCUGUUCCAGAAGAGGAAACGGGGGCUUUAAAAGUGGUUUACCUGGGAUCGCACAGCUGGCAUGAGCGAGCUUUGAAUCCAGGUUUCCGGGGCUUGGAUAGACCACGGCACGCGAGCCCUGAACAGCAGGACGGGCCACUGGUGCCUGUGUGACGGGAGGAGUCAGGAAGGUUCUCGCGUCACUCUUCUCAGCUGUGCCCACGUGUCCUUUCAGCAAGCACAGACCUGCCAGUUACCAGAUCUCCGACUCCACCGUGAUGAGGACGGCGGCAGCGGGUGGCCCAGCAGAGGACCAGACCGUCUGCCACAGUAAUGAGGUUUCAUUCCAGGGGCCAACGGGUGCUGCCUGAGGAAGCUUCUGAGGUCCUUCUGGAUUAUAACCGUAGAACCUCGAAAGCAGAGCUGUCCCCUUCUGUAACAGCCAGAGUCUGUCACCCACACACCUUCCUUAGAAAUGCAAGGUUGGGGUCCGCUCCCCGACAACCCAGCAGGACGAGGGGCCUCAGUCCACUGGUGUUCGUGAUGGUCUGGAGCCUGGGUUCUGGGGUCAAGGACAUGGGGUCCAUGCCCAGCUGUGCCCUGUCCUCUCCAACACUGUCAAGGAGCCUGAGCUUUCUGAAGGCUUGAAAAAACGGAUCACCAGCACAUAGCUGACCCUCAAAAUACAGACCAGAAUUAUGCCUGUGUGGAGGGGUAACACAGACACAUCGGCAGAACUUUUGGUGUCAAGAGUGGAGGACUGAGAUCAUUCUUAUAAAGGGGACAACAGCCCUCUUCAACUUUGUCUGGAGAAGGGAUCGACGUGAGCCCAUUACGCGCUCUAUCAUGCCCUCAGAGUGCCCACUCCUUUGGUGACGAUGUGAGAAUCUGCCUGUCGAUUGAGGCCAAGUUGGAGUAAAAACAAAGGGGGAGACCACUGAAUUUCUCAUUUCUCACAACAACGGCCGUAACUCAUUAGAAAUGCGCUGAGGAGACGUCCCCAUGAGACGGCAUCCUCAUCUUCCUGGGUGACCAGUCUGCCCUCUUGUCACUAACCAUCAGGUGCAGAAACGCCGGAUGGCAGAAAGCUUAAAAGCAGGUCCAUGUAAAACUUCAGGACGCUAAGCAGACCUCCUUUGGACCAGCCACCCUCAGUGGAUUAAAAGACACACAAGUGAGGAGGACAGCCUGAUAUUUACGGCAGGCACGGCACCAGGCACUUAGACGCAUGAUGCUGAAAGCGCCCCUCAGAGGAAAGCGGUGCUUUGAUGCAGCCAGAUCUGGGCUCCAAUCCAGGCUCUUUCCCUUUUCUCUAACCCUGCGGCCCAGGGAAGCUGGUUCUGAACGUCUGUUUCCUCAGCGGUCAACUAGAGACAAGAGCACAAGAUCAUCGCAGGAAUGAAAAGCAACGAUGAAUGUACACAGCAUCUGCCGAGCGUGUUAGCUUACAUGGAGUGCUCGAUUCCUCCAGUCCACGGAGGUUAUUACUGUGUCUACGCUUACUGUGUGCCCUUCUAGCCACUGGGAUCCGUCAGGGAACAAAGCAAAACGUUUUCAGUUAGUAUUAGAGCACAGUAAGAAGGAUCUCUGGUAUCAGACAAAGUGGAGUUGGAAUCCUGGCAUUUCCAGGUGGGUAAUCCUGGAAGUUUCUUAACCUAUGAAACAGGGAUAAGCCGUGUUCCAUCGAGAUGAAAUGAAACAGCAUGUUGAAUGCUAGCGACUCUCCGGCAUGUAGGAAGUGCUCAAUGAAUGGGAGCAAUGGAUUGAUUUUAUUGUUGUUUGUAAUAAUCCCCAACAACCCCGAAUGAAUGUUGUCAUUGCAAGGAGGAGACCACUGCAGCUGAGUGAGAUCAGGUGCCUUGCCUGGGGUUGCAGAGCUGCCCGGGGAUGAAGUCUAAUUCAAACGCCCGCGGUCUUUACUGUGGGCACGUGGCGCUUCGCACCUUCCACCUCUGUUACUCUGAGACUGGACUCCUGUGCACAUCUACGGACAGGUGUCAGUCUAGGGGAUGGGUGAGGUUUUUGUCCUUGUGUGUCUGUGUGCUGCCUGACUGACGCCAUUGACUUCAAGCAUAAAGCUGUAUCGAUCUUGA